rnacentral:rRNA from 1 species
UACGGGGGGGGGCAAGCGUUGUUCGGAAUUACUGGGCGUAAAGGGCUCGUAGGCGGCCAACUAAGUCAGACGUGAAAUCCCUCGGCUUAACCGGGGAACUGCGUCUGAUACUGGAUGGCUUGAGUUUGGGAGAGGGAUGCGGAAUUCCAGGUGUAGCGGUGAAAUGCGUAGAGAUGUGGAGGAACACCAGUGGCGAAGGCGACUCUUUGGUCUGUAACUGACGCUGAGGCGCGAAAGCGUGGGGGAGCAAACAGG